rnacentral:rRNA from 1 species
AUUGAUUUUAUGCUUGCAUAAAUGAUUUUUGGAUUCGGAGCGAGUGGCGAACUGGUGAGUAACACGUGGGUAACCUGCCCCGAAGCGGGGGAUAACAUUUGGAAACAAGUGCUAAUACCGCAUAAUUAGUUGGAACCGCAUGGUUCCAACUUGAAAGAUGGCUCUGCUAUCACUUUGGGAUGGACCCGCGCCGUAUUAGUUAGUUGGUGAGAUAAAAGCCCACCAAGACGAUGAUACGUAGCCGACCUGAGAGGGUAAUCGGCCACAUUGGGACUGAGACACGGCCCAGACUCCUACGGGAGGCAGCAGUAGGGAAUCUUCCACAAUGGACGAAAGUCUGAUGGAGCAACGCCGCGUGAGUGAUGAAGGUUUUCGGAUCGUAAGACUCUGUUGUUAAAGAAGAACAAGUGUUAGAGUAACUGUUAACACUUUGACGGUAUUUAACCAGAAAGCCACGGCUAACUACGUGCCAGCAGCCGCGGUAAUACGUAGGUGGCAAGCGUUGUCCGGAUUUAUUGGGCGUAAAGCGAGCGCAGGCGGUUUUGUAAGUCUGCUGUGAAAGCCCUCAGCUCAACUGAGGAAGUGCAGUGGAAACUACAAAACUUGAGUACAGAAGAGGAAAGUGGAACUCCAUGUGUAGCGGUGAAAUGCGUAGAUAUAUGGAAGAACACCAGUGGCGAAGGCGGCUUUCUGGUCUGUUACUGACGCUGAGGCUCGAAAGCAUGGGUAGCGAACAGGAUUAGAUACCCUGGUAGUCCAUGCCGUAAACGAUGAAUACUAGGUGUUGGAGGGUUUCCGCCCUUCAGUGCCGCAGCUAACGCAUUAAGUAUUCCGCCUGGGGAGUACGACCGCAAGGUUGAAACUCAAAGGAAUUGACGGGGGCCCGCACAAGUGGUGGAGCAUGUGGUUUAAUUCGAUGCUACGCGAAGAACCUUACCAGCUCUUGACAUCUUCUGCCAACCCAAGAGAUUGGGCGUUCCCUUCGGGGACAGAAUGACAGGUGGUGCAUGGUUGUCGUCAGCUCGUGUCGUGAGAUGUUGGGUUAAGUCCCGCAACGAGCGCAACCCUUAUUAUUAGUUGCCAGCAUUUAGUUGGGCACUCUAGUGAGACUGCCGGUGAUAAA